CUCAGCCGUACCUCUCAAUCCAUGUUCACCAGAUUCGAAGCAACGCCUCCCUCAGCCCCUCUUCUCUUCAGUCUUCUCUCUUCUCCCUCUUCUCUUCAGUCUUCUCUCUUCUCCCUCUUCUCUUCAGUCUUCUUUCUUACAGCCCAAUCCGUGGAAACCGAUCCAAACCGACGCUUACAUAACGGCGGACAACGGCCGUUAACAUACCACCAUAAAACCCCUCCUCCUCUCUCAUUUCCCCCAAACUGCAAAACCAGACCUCCCAUUCUCUCUCUCUAAACCCUCGAUUCGCCCCCCUCCUCUCUCUAAACCCCACCGCCUUCUCCAUCUUCGUUCUACUUUCUCCAUCUUCUUUUUUUUGCUUCUUUGAAAAAAUCUCAUCCUUUUUCUUUCUCCACAGUACUACAUCUAUAUCGUCCAUCUCUUAGUCUCUGGACAUUAAAUUUGGGUUUGAGAAAUUUGUUUCAUUAUCUUUUUUCCUCACCAAAGAAAAUGGUCCGAAAUUGGAGAGAAAUCGGAACAUGGGACGACAAAGGGUUUACAUUUGAAAAAGAAGCAAAAACACAAAGUGAAAUAAGUGGAAUCGAAAAAAAGAAAGGUAUCGGACGAUUCCAGUCUUUGGGCUUGUUCAGGCUGAGCAGAGACGAUCUUCCAUUCUACCAACGACGUAGGACUUCUUUUCAGAUAUUAUAUUUAGAUUGUGUCUUCAGUUCUUUAUUUCCGUUCAGUUUAGGAUUUUUAUUAGGGGUCCACUAGAGAUGGAUUCCCGAGUUGUACCCUUGGAGGUUUUGAAGUUGGAUUAUUCAAUCUUUUAAAUUUGAGGAUUUUAUUUUAGUUUCUUUCUGCUUAAACUUUAAAUCUUAAAUUCAUUUUGU